GCAAACUUGGUCAUUUAGAGGAAGUAAAAGUCGUAACAAGGUCUCCGUUGGUGAACCAGCGGAGGGAUCAUUACAAAACGAGUCGCAAGACUUAAACCCCAUGUGAACUAUACCUUCUAUCUCGGUUGCUUCGGCAGGCGGCCCCAGGGCGGGGUCCCCGCGGCCUGGCCAGAUCCAGGCGCCCGCCGGAGGACGAAACCUCAAACUCUUUUUCAGCAGUGAAACUCAGAGUAACAAAGACAAUCAGUCAAAACUUUCAACAACGGAUCUCUUGGUUCUGGCAUCGAUGAAGAACGCAGC
rnacentral:misc_RNA from 1 species